GAUGAACGCUGGCGGCGUGCCUAAUACAUGCAAGUCGAGCGAACAGACGAGGAGCUUGCUCCUCUGACGUUAGCGGCGGACGGGUGAGUAACACGUGGAUAACCUACCUAUAAGACUGGGAUAACUUCGGGAAACCGGAGCUAAUACCGGAUAAUAUAUUGAACCGCAUGGUUCAAUAGUGAAAGACGGUUUUGCUGUCACUUAUAGAUGGAUCCGCGCCGCAUUAGCUAGUUGGUAAGGUAACGGCUUACCAAGGCAACGAUGCGUAGCCGACCUGAGAGGGUGAUCGGCCACACUGGAACUGAGACACGGUCCAGACUCCUACGGGAGGCAGCAGUAGGGAGUCUUCCGCAAUGGGCGAAAGCCUGACGGAGCAACGCCGCGUGAGUGAUGAAGGUCUUCGGAUCGUAAAACUCUGUUAUUAGGGAAGAACAAAUGUGUAAGUAACUAUGCACGUCUUGACGGUACCUAAUCAGAAAGCCACGGCGAACUACGU
rnacentral:rRNA from 1 species